AUUGAGAGUUUUUAGCACUGAUGGUAGGGAAAAAUGUGCUCAUAAGUGGACAUUCCUUUUUAAUGAAGAACAGGAUUAACUGGAAAAAGACUUUAGAGACAAUCUGAUCCAACUCCCACAGUUAGAUGAGAAGAUUGAUGCCCAGAGAGAUUUAACGAGCGAUUUGUCCAACGUCCUACAGGUAGUAAGUGAAAUCAUUUAGUUUAUAGAUGCUACCGCAGUGUUAUUUGGUGAUAUUAAAUUACCUGGCAAAAUAAAAGAAUUGGUUUUUAAGAGACAAAAAAGCAAGAAUUUCAAGGGAAUAAUUAAGGGAGUAGCUAGGGGACCUAGCCUUACCAGAUUUAAAACUACAUUAUGGAACAAUGCUUUGUAGAGAGUUAGGUAAUCAAUAUAUGUACUGAAUGAAUUGCAAAUAGAUUGUCUCCGUUUCUAUUCCCGUAAAUUCUGCCUGUUCAAAUGGGACCCAUGUCUUGCAGUAGAGAUUACAACUCACGGGUUCGGUGUUUUCCUAAAUUAUAGGAUAGAAAGAGGCAGCUACAAAGAGAAAGGAGAAAAGCUGAAUCAGAUGAGAGAAAAAAAAAAAGAUUUAAAAAAAUAAAAACUGAGUCAAACCACACGUUUUACUUUCGCUUCUUGAAUAAUGUUCUCUAGGAAAUAAAGUAUCUGAGUGUCAGGAUGGCCGAGUGGUCUAAGGCGCCAGACUCAAGGUAGAACCUUCACUUGUAGAGUGUUCUGGUCUCCGCAUGGAGGCGUGGGUUCAAAUCCCACUCCUGACACAUCUCUUUUAUUUCACCCACACUUUUAACAAUGAUAAAUAAAUGGCUUUUAGACAGUUGUUUUGUUUUGUUUUUUAAAUUAAAAGCAAUAAUCAACAGUAGUAACCUUCAUUUUGAGUCUUUCUGGAGAUGAGUGGGUCUCAGUAAACCCGGGGUGUUACCUUCAUGUAUUUCCCUAACCGGCUCUCGGAUCCCAAAGAUUUGUGUUUUGGGCGCGCACGCCCCUCCUCCCCAAUUUUCCUCAUUUAUUUUUUUCUGUGUUCUGUUUUUUCUUUCCAAUCGGGAGUGGAGUGGAGGUCUAGAGAAGAGAAGCACGGAAAGAGAAACGGCCACGAGAGACCGCCUCCAUAUUCGGGAACCGACAAAACCAGCCUGGCGGAAUCCUAACUCUUCACAGCGACACUUAGAGGGGAGAUCAUGCAACAGCAACAAGCAGCCAACAUUUAUUGAAGCUUUUAUGGAAUCCUUAGUCUUAUUGCCUUCCCUGGGAAAUUUAUUUCUGAUUUAUUCUGUACGUACCAUGUUUGUAUAUGGUUGUUUGCAAGUCGUCUCUCCAUUCUCCCCACCCCCACUUUUACAGUGUGAGCUCCUUGAAGGCAGGAGCUAUUUUUGUCUUUUCUGUAUUUCCAGCUCUUUGCCCAUUGCCUGCCACUUUGUUAGGCACUCAAUAAAUGCUCAUCGACUUUU